AAGAAAGUGGCAGAGCGGUUAUGUGGUUGGCUUGAAACCAGCUUACGGGGGCUCAAUUCCCUCCUUUCUCG
rnacentral:tRNA from 1 species